rnacentral:rRNA from 1 species
GAUGAACGCUAGCUACAGGCUUAACACAUGCAAGUCGAGGGGAAACGGCAUUGAGUGCUUGCACUCUUUGGACGUCGACUGGCGCACGGGUGAGUAACGCGUAUCCAACCUUCCCAUUACUGUGGGAUAACCUGCCGAAAGGCAGACUAAUACCGCAUAGUCUUCGAUGACGGCAUCAGAUUUGAAGUAAAGAUUUAUCGGUAAUGGAUGGGGAUGCGUCUGAUUAGCUUGUUGGCGGGGUAACGGCCCACCAAGGCUACGAUCAGUAGGGGUUCUGAGAGGAAGGUCCCCCACAUUGGAACUGAGACACGGUCCAAACUCCUACGGGAGGCAGCAGUGAGGAAUAUUGGUCAAUGGACGGAAGUCUGAACCAGCCAAGUAGCGUGCAGGAUGACGGCCCUAUGGGUUGUAAACUGCUUUUGUAUGGGGAUAAAGUUAGGGACGUGUCCCUAUUUGCAGGUACCAUACGAAUAAGGACCGGCUAAUUCCGUGCCAGCAGCCGCGGUAAUACGGAAGGUCCAGGCGUUAUCCGGAUUUAUUGGGUUUAAAGGGAGCGUAGGCUGGAGAUUAAGUGUGUUGUGAAAUGUAGACGCUCAACGUCUGAAUUGCAGCGCAUACUGGUUUCCUUGAGUACGCACAACGUUGGCGGAAUUCGUCGUGUAGCGGUGAAAUGCUUAGAUAUGACGAAGAACUCCGAUUGCGAAGGCAGCUGACGGGAGCGCAACUGACGCUUAAGCUCGAAGGUGCGGGUAUCAAACAGG